UUAUGGACCUCACGUGACUUUUGAGAGCCAGUGAGGGGUAUCUGUCUGAGGUCUGGGCGAUUUUUACGAUCUAACUUCUAGAUAAAACCCUAUCCAUUUGACAUCUAAAUGUCAUACCCACUUUUGGUAUAGUUUGCUAUUGGUAAAAAAAAAAAAAAUCAAGGGAAGGCGAGCAAAUGGUUUGGGAUCUGACAGUCCACUUCACAUCCCUCUCAAAAUCACUUAAGAAGUACCUAAACAGUGGGAGAUUAAGUUUGAGUUUCCCUUUGUGUAUGGAAUGGACCCAAACUUACGUAGAUCUGCUUUAUUGGUAUGCAAGAAAAAAAAAUGAGAUUGAAAGGGAACGAUGACUAGAGAAGAAAAAAAACACCCAACCAGGAUCGGAUGAGAGCCUGAAGUUAACUGCUUUGCGGGAGCCGAGCAGCUCAUACAUUUGAUUAGAGAGUUACGCAAUAUUUGUAGCUCUGCAAAACCAGCGAUGAUCUGGCAUGAUCAGCUCCGCAUGCAGAUUUUGGGCUAAGAAAUGGGAUGUCCUGAUAAUUCAAUGCAACCUUAUUUCCGAGGACUGCCGCGAACUGCCCUCUCCGAAGAAACCACCCCCAUAAUAAUGACCCUGGAGAGCAACGCAAAACCCAACUGGCUUCCACACAAACUUCGCCAAAUUACUGGGCUCGCCUGAAGACGGGCGAACUGGCAAGAGCUUCUGCGAGGGGGGAAAAAAUAAAACACGACAACUACCCACAAAGGGUUUGGUAUUUUUUUAAAGGCAGUAUCUAAAAGCCUCCGUCACCGAGCUACUGCAAAAUCCUUCGUUCCAAGUCUACUAUCUCCAGAGACGUGAACAAGGAAGAAAUCCAGGUAAAAAUAUACACAGACAGAAGAGCAUAGCAAGGAGAAAAGAACAACAGAGGUUAAGGGGAGAAAGCGUAAUAAUCAUUCGCAUUAUGUACA